CCUGCCCUGAGAGGCCUUGCAGGGGUGGCUGCUGUGUCACCUGUAUGUCAGUAGGUGGCAGAGAAGAGAGAGGCUAUGUCUAAGCUCAGUAUUUUGACGUGUGAACAUCUGAUGAUUAGUAGCCUAACACU